rnacentral:rRNA from 1 species
AGCAGCAGCCGCGGUAAUACCGAGGGUGCGAGCGUUAAUCGGAUUUACUGGGCGUAAAGCGUGCGUAGGCGGCUUUUUAAGUCGGAUGUGAAAUCCCUGAGCUUAACUUAGGAAUUGCAUUCGAUACUGGGAAGCUAGAGUAUGGGAGAGGAUGGUAGAAUUCCAGGUGUAGCGGUGAAAUGCGUAGAGAUCUGGAGGAAUACCGAUGGCGAAGGCAGCCAUCUGGCCUAAUACUGACGCUGAGGUACGAAAGCAUGGGGAGCAAACAGGAUUAGAUACCCCUGUAGUCCCUGUCUCUUAUAA